GUUUGAUCCUGGCUCAGGAUGAGACGCUGGCGGCGUGCCUAAUACAUGCAAGUCGAGCGAACAGACGAGGAGCUUGCUCCUCUGACGUUAGCGGCGGACGGGUGAGUAACACGUGGAUAACCUACCUAUAAGACUGGGAUAACUUCGGGAAACCGGAGCUAAUACCGGAUAACAUGUUGAACCGCAUGGUUCAACAGUGAAAGACGGUCUUGCUGUCACUUAUAGAUGGAUCCGCGCCGCAUUAGCUAGUUGGUAAGGUAACGGCUUACCAAGGCAACGAUGCGUAGCCGACCUGAGAGGGUGAUCGGCCACACUGGAACUGAGACACGGUCCAGACUCCUACGGGAGGCAGCAGUAGGGAAUCUUCCGCAAUGGGCGAAAGCCUGACGGAGCAACGCCGCGUGAGUGAAGAAGGUCUUCGGAUCGUAAAACUCUGUUAUUAGGGAAGAACAAAUGUGUAAGUAACUAUGCACGUCUUGACGGUACCUAAUCAGAAAGCCACGGCUAACUACGUGCCAGCAGCCGAGGUAAU
rnacentral:rRNA from 1 species